UACGGAGGGUGCAAGCGUUAAUCGGAAUUACUGGGCGUAAAGCGCACGCAGGCGGUCUGUCAAGUCGGAUGUGAAAUCCCCGGGCUCAACCUGGGAACUGCAUUCGAAACUGGCAGGCUAGAGUCUUGUAGAGGGGGGUAGAAUUCCAGGUGUAGCGGUGAAAUGCGUAGGGAUCUGGAGGAAUACCGGUGGCGAAGGCGGCCCCCUGGACAAAGACUGACGCUCAGGUGCGAAAGCGUGGGGAGCAAACAGG
rnacentral:rRNA from 1 species